rnacentral:tRNA from 1 species
GCUGACUCCAGAUCAGCCGAUC